GAUGGAACGUAGCGAAAUGCGAUAAGUAGUGUGAAUUGCAGAAUUCAGUGAAUCAUCGAAUCUUUGAACGCACAUUGCGCCCCUUGGUAUUCCAUGGGGCAUGCCUGUUCGAGCGUCAUUUGUACCUUCAAGCUUUGCUUGGUGUUGGGUGUUUGUCUCGCCUUUGCGUGUAGACUCGCCUUAAAAUAAUUGGCAGCCGGCGUAUUGAUUUCGGAGCGCAGUACAUCUCGCGCUUUGCACUCAUAACGACAGCGUCCAAAAGUACAUUUUACACUCUUGACCUCGGAUCAGGUAGGGAUACCCGCUGAACUUAAGCAUAUCAAUAAGCGGAGGA
rnacentral:misc_RNA from 1 species